AUCUGGACAUGAAGCAGACACUCCUGCAUUCCCUACUAGGGCUGUAAAGAGAGGGCCUUUCCACGUAAGCAGGCCAUAGCUGCUGUGACCUUGUGACUCACACAGACCAUACACAGUGAUUCAGCUCCAUCUCUGUGGCUAAACGGCACCCACAGGCAAAACCACAAGCCAAGGCACGUCCCCGUGGUAACCUUGCCCUCAGCAACAGACCAGGAAUAGACGUGUCAUCUCCCACCCCCUCCCCCGACCUCCCCCAUACUCCUGUUUAGGAGUCAGGCUUCCUGGAAUCCCAGCUCCCUGCUUCCGCAUCUGUGCAGCCUCCACAGCAGAUGGCAUUGUGUGAACCUCAUCUGGAAGGAAGGAAACGUGCUGCUGUAGAGGUCCUCAUCUUCCUGCAGCCCUGCCCUGGAACGCUGUGGUAUGUCCCUGCCCCGGGAAAACUGUGACCCUCAAACCACUUUCCUGCCCAGCAGGGUGGGAUGUCACUAUGAUGAGUCAGCUCAUGCCCGAGAUAGCAUCUGUACACCUCCUCCAGCUAGGGGCGCAGGCAGGAAGCCUCAGCUCCUUACAGUUCAGGUCUGUGCGUGCUCCAAGCUGGAUUGACAACUACUGACCUCGCCCCUUCCUACAGGACAGCCUCUUUCUGAAACAGUUUAGGGAACUGAAGAGAUGGCUCAACGGUUAAGAGCACUGACUCC